rnacentral:pre_miRNA from 1 species
UCUUAGGAGUGAGCAAAGAAAGUGGUUUCCUGAGAUGGAAUCGACUCUUGGUGAAGAUGCUGUGAA